GAGAGAUUAGUUAAAUUAUAAUAUAAGAUUGUCAGUCUUACGUUACUAAUCGAAUUAGUAUCUCUUG
rnacentral:tRNA from 1 species